UUUUGCAUACAUUUAUAAAGGUUAAUAUACAUGAAUAAAUAAAGUGAAUUAAUGAUAGAAAUGUUAUACUCCUCAUCUGUGUUAAGUGAGAGAAAAAGGUUAAGAGCUAUAGGUUUAAACUGUUCAAAUCAUGGGAAAGAGGGAUGAUGCCAGACAGUUAAAGUCAGGAAACAGCACACACAAAAGGUUUGACCUGCUUUUUAAAAAGUAGAGGAAUUAGUUGGGGGAAAGUUGGGGUGGUGAAAGGGCAUAAAUAAAGGAACAGAGAUAGAAAAACAGAUGGAACAGGACUAGUUUCCUUGAAGGAAAAUGGAAAAACUCAAGAAAAGGUUGCAACACGACCAUGAAGUACAAGUUAAGAGGUCUGAAUUUUAUCCUAUUGGCAAAAGCAGUGUUUUACUAAGAAUAAAUUAGUGGGAUAUAUUACAGUGGGUAAAAUAAUUACAGGCAAAAAACUCCUCAGCUAAAGUGCUAACAGAGUAAGUGAGAAAUACGGCGGGAAUUCCAAGGAUGGAGGAGUCAAAGACAACUGUGGUUCGUUUGGGUAAAUGACAAAUGUGAACAUGUUCAUUGUCUCUUGGAGCUUUUACUAGCUAAAUCAAGCAAGUGAAAAACAAUUUCAGAGCCAUCAAAGCACAAGUCAUAAACAAACGCCUGAUCAUCACACAUAUACCUAUUAGCCAAUCAUUUAAACAUUUUAUGUUCUAAACGGUCUCAGAUGGAGAUUCUAAUCAUGAGUCAGAUUCUUAAAAAUACUCAUUUCUAUCUACAAAGGUCAUAUAGGCUGAGGCACAUACAACUGUUCUCUCAAAGUAUGGAAUAAAGUUUAAUCUGUAGAUUAAAGUAGAGCUUAAACAGCCAUAAGAUCUGGUUCCUAUAAACUUUGAUUCUUAAGCUGUGAUUCCCCCUCUUGUAUAUUUGAUCACAGCCAUCCAGAUCUUCUCGCUGCUCUUUUAGGUAAACACCAAAAACAUUUCAGCCUCAAGGGCUUUGUAGUUGGGAGUUCCUCUGCUUGAAAGGCUCUCUUCCCAGAUACCCAAUGGUUUGCUCCCUUACUUUUAGGUCUUUAUUCAGAUGUCAUCCCGGGGAGGCAUUUUCUGACUACACUAUAUAGAAAUAUACCUUUAACCCAUCCCUCCCACCUCCCUCACUUUUUCUUCAUAAACUUAUCCCCAUUUGACAUACCACAUAAAGUACCUAUUCAUUUUUUGUCUAUUCUACUAUCCAUGCUUCGCUCCUAAGAUUGCAAGCUCCAUGAGGGCUGGAAUUGAUCUGCUUUGUCCACUGCUGACCCUCAGGGACUAUAUAAUAGAAUAAAUUGUAAUAGAAUAAAUCUGUACCCCUCUCUCUAUACAUAAAUGCUUCAAAUCUAUUUUUAACAUUCCUUAUUAAACAUUAGCUGGAAAGGUUUUAUGGAAACACAAAUUAAUAUAAAAAUCUUCACAGACAACGCUAAGAUGUACAAAUUCUCUUAAGAAAUAAUAUAAUUAAACUUCUUCCACUGUAAAUCAACAAUAGAAAAAUAAAAAUCUUAAAAAAAUAGUAAAAUUUUCAAAUGACCCCCCCAAAAAACCCCAAUUUUCUCGACGCCCAUGGGACAUUCUACUUCACUGCUUCAUACUAUAAUAGUAUUUUUAACUGAUCACAUGCAAACUUAAAAAAACUUUUUUUUUUUUGUCUUUUGUCUUUUUAGGGCCACAUCUACGGCAUUUGAGGUUCCCAGGCUGUCUAACAGGAGCUAUAGCUGCCGGCCUACGCCACAGCCACAGUAAUGCCAGAACCGAGCUGCGUCUGUGGUCUACACCACAGUUCAUGGCAAUGCCAGAUCCUUAAUCCACUGAGCAAGGAUCAGCGUUGCUGUGAGCUGUGGUGUAGGUUGCAGACACGGCUCGGAUCCCUUGCUGCUGUGGCUCUGGCAUAGGCCAGUGGCUACAGCUCCGAUUAGACCCCUAGCCUGGGAACCUCCAUAUGCCGUGGGAGUGGCUCUAGAAAAGGCAAAAAAAAAGCAAAAAAAAAAAAAAAAAAAAAAAAAAA
ensembl:lncRNA